CAGUCGCCGCGGGAAUACGUAGGUGGCAAGCGUUGUCCGGAAUUAUUGGGCGUAAAGGGCUCGCAGGCGGUUUCUUAAGUCUGAUGUGAAAGCCUCCGGCUCAACCGGGGAGGGUCAUUGGAAACUGGGAAACUUGAGUGCAGAAGAGGAGAGUGGAAUUCCACGUGUAGCGGUGAAAUGCGUAGAGAUGUGGAGGAACACCAGUGGCGAAGGCGACUCUCUGGUCUGUAACUGACGCUGAGGAGCGAAAGCGUGGGGAGCGAACAGGAUUAGAUACCCGCGUAGUCCCUGUCUCUUAUAC
rnacentral:rRNA from 1 species